rnacentral:snoRNA from 17 species
GGGGUGUGCUCAGAGCAGGGGGCCUGAAGAAUGCUUCUCUGUUUACAACACACCCAACAGGAAUAUGGGGUUAUUGUGACAAGGGCCACAAAAAUUGUGGCUUCCCUAUGAACAAAUGCCCUACAUGU